AGAGUUUGAUCCUGGCUCAGAUUGAACGCUGGCGGCAGGCCUAACACAUGCAAGUCGAACGGUAACAGGAAGCAGCUUGCUGCUUCGCUGACGAGUGGCGGACGGGUGAGUAAUGUCUGGGAAACUGCCUGAUGGAGGGGGAUAACUACUGGAAACGGUAGCUAAUACCGCAUAACGUCGCAAGACCAAAGAGGGGGACCUUCGGGCCUCUUGCCAUCGGAUGUGCCCAGAUGGGAUUAGCUAGUAGGUGGGGUAACGGCUCACCUAGGCGACGAUCCCUAGCUGGUCUGAGAGGAUGACCAGCCACACUGGAACUGAGACACGGUCCAGACUCCUACGGGAGGCAGCAGUGGGGAAUAUUGCACAAUGGGCGCAAGCCUGAUGCAGCCAUGCCGCGUGUAUGAAGAAGGCCUUCGGGUUGUAAAGUACUUUCAGCGGGGAGGAAGGGAGUAAAGUUAAUACCUUUGCUCAUUGACGUUACCCGCAGAAGAAGCACCGGCUAACUCCGUGCCAGCAGCCGCGGUAAUACGGAGGGUGCAAGCGUUAAUCGGAAUUACUGGGCGUAAAGCGCACGCAGGCGGUUUGUUAAGUCAGAUGUGAAAUCCCCGGGCUCAACCUGGGAACUGCAUCUGAUACUGGCAAGCUUGAGUCUCGUAGAGGGGGGUAGAAUUCCAGGUGUAGCGGUGAAAUGCGUAGAGAUCUGGAGGAAUACCGGUGGCGAAGGCGGCCCCCUGGACGAAGACUGACGCUCAGGUGCGAAAGCGUGGGGAGCAAACAGGAUUAGAUACCCUGGUAGUCCACGCCGUAAACGAUGUCGACUUGGAGGUUGUGCCCUUGAGGCGUGGCUUCCGGAGCUAACGCGUUAAGUCGACCGCCUGGGGAGUACGGCCGCAAGGUUAAAACUCAAAUGAAUUGACGGGGGCCCGCACAAGCGGUGGAGCAUGUGGUUUAAUUCGAUGCAACGCGAAGAACCUUACCUGGUCUUGACAUCCACAGAACUUUCCAGAAAUGGAUUGGUGCCUCUCGGAACUGUGAAACAGUGCUGCAUGGCUUCGUCACCUCCGGUGUGGAAAAGUGUGGUUAAAUCCCGCACCAAGGCAACCCUUAUCUUUGUUGCCCCGGCCCGCCGGGAAUCCAAGGAGAUGCCCUGUAUAACUGGGGGAAGGGGGGGAUGACGUCAAGUCAUCAUGGCCCUUACGACCAGGGCUACACACGUGCUACAAUGGCGCAUACAAAGAGAAGCGACCUCGCGAGAGCAAGCGGACCUCAUAAAGUGCGUCGUAGUCCGGAUUGGAGUCUGCAACUCGACUCCAUGAAGUCGGAAUCGCUAGUAAUCGUGGAUCAGAAUGCCACGGUGAAUACGUUCCCGGGCCUUGCACACACCGCCCGUC
rnacentral:rRNA from 1 species